UACAGAGGUGGCAAGCGUUGUUCGGAAUUACUGGGCGUAAAGGGCGCGUAGGCGGCCUUGUAAGUCUCGUGUGAAAGCCCUCGGCUUAACUGAGGAUCUGCACGGGAUACUGCGAGGCUUGAGUUCGGGAGAGGAAAGCGGAAUUCCGGGUGUAGCGGUGAAAUGCGUAGAUAUCAGGAGGAACACCUAUUGCGAAGGCAGCUCGCUGGGACGUAACUGACGCUGAGACGCGAAAGCGUGGGGAGCAAACAGG
rnacentral:rRNA from 1 species